AUGGGAUGGCACAAAGUUAAGCUGUACACAAGUUUCUUCACCAUCAGAAAAAGGAAUGAUAUUGCUUCUGAUUGUUGGAAUAACUAGUGUGAUUGGUCUCUGUGCCAUUACUUUUAUCUACAUAUGGCGAAGAAAGAUGACCAAGAGACAAGAAAAUAGACAAAUUGACCAAAGAAAUCGAGUACAAUGCAUGUUAUAUAGUGAAA